rnacentral:rRNA from 1 species
CCUACGGGCGACUGCAGUCGAGAAUCAUUCACAAUGGGGGAAACCCUGAUGGUGCGACGCCGCGUGGGGGAAUGAAGGUCUUCGGAUUGUAAACCCCUGUCAUGUGGGAGCAAAUUAAAAAGAUAGUACCACAAGAGGGAGAGACGGCUAACUCUGUGCCAGCAGCCGCGGUAAUACAGAGGUCUCAAGCGUUGUUCGGAAUCACUGGGCGUAAAGCGUGCGUAGGCUGUUUCGUAAGUCGUGUGUGAAAGGCGCGGGCUCAACCCGCGGACGGCACAUGAUACUGCGAGACUAGAGUAAGGGAGGGGGAACCGGAAUUCUCGGUGUAGCAGUGAAAUGCGUAGAUAUCGAGAGGAACACUCGUGGCGAAGGCGGGUUCCUGGACAUUAACUGACGCUGAGGCACGAAGGCCAGGGGAGCGAAAGGGAUUAGAUACCCUUGUAGUC